GACGAACGCUGGCGGCGUGCCUAACACAUGCAAGUCGAACGGGGUAAGAAGCUUCGGUUUCUUACUUAGUGGCGAACGGGUGAGUAACGCGUGAGAAACCUGCCUUUCGGUGGGGGACAACAGUUGGAAACGACUGCUAAUACCGCAUAAUGUUAUUUGAGGGCAUCCUCGAAUAACCAAAGAUUUAUUGCUGAAAGAUGGUCUCGCGCCUGAUUAGCUAGAUGGCGGGGUAACGGCCCACCAUGGCGACGAUCAGUAGCCGGUCUGGGAGGAUGAACGGCCACAUUGGGACUGAGAUACGGCCCAGACUCCUACGGGAGGCAGCAGUGGGGAAUAUUGGGCAAUGGGGGAAACCCUGACCCAGCAACGCCGCGUGAAGGAAGAAGGCCUUCGGGUUGUAAACUUCUUUUAGCAGGGACGAAUUCUGACGGUACCUGCAGAAAAAGCAACGACUAACUACGUGCCAGCAGCCGCCGUAACAC
rnacentral:rRNA from 1 species